rnacentral:ncRNA from 2 species
CGCACCACACACGGGUGCCCUGCUGGUACAGGGCUGAGAUCACGCUAAUACCGCGUGAGCACCGUUCGAACCUGUUGGUUAGUACCAACGUAGGAAGGAGGUGGGCACUGUGG